rnacentral:rRNA from 1 species
AUUGAACGCUGGCGGCAUGCUUUACACAUGCAAGUCGAACGGUAACAGGCCGCAAGGUGCUGACGAGUGGCGAACGGGUGAGUAAUGCAUCGGAACGUGCCCAGUCGUGGGGGAUAACGCAGCGAAAGCUGUGCUAAUACCGCAUACGCUCUAUGGAUGAAAGCGGGGGACCGUAAGGCCUCGCGUGAUUGGAGCGGCCGAUGUCAGAUUAGGUAGUUGGUGGGGUAAAGGCCUACCAAGCCGACGAUCUGUAGCUGGUCUGAGAGGACGACCAGCCACACUGGGACUGAGACACGGCCCAGACUCCUACGGGAGGCAGCAGUGGGGAAUAUUGGACAAUGGGCGCAAGCCUGAUCCAGCAACGCCGCGUGCAGGAAGAAGGCCUUCGGGUUGUAAACUGCUUUUGUACGGAGCGAAAAGGUCUCCUCUAAUACAGGGGGCUCAUGACGGUACCGUAAGAAUAAGCACCGGCUAACUACGUGCCAGCCGCCGCAGUAACAC